rnacentral:lncRNA from 10 species
GCCUAACUGACUUGGGGUAAGGGAAAUACCCAAAUAUAGUUCACUAUAGCCAUUCUAUGCCACCUAAAAGGAAGGAAAAACUAUGAAACCCCUUUGAGUUUUACAGUACAGAGGCAAAGGCUCACUAAAAGAUUGAGAUCUGAUCAUGGAAUAAUAGAAUGUUUGCCCUUCCCCCACACCUUACCACCACAUCACUAAAGGCUUUUUUACAGCAGUUCCUUUUACCCAGUAGCUCAUGUCUAGCUAUCAAGAAAAAAUUACAAGACAUUAAAAAGCAGAAAACAUAGUUUGAAGACACAGAGGAAGCAUCAGAAUCGGACUCAGAUCCAUCAGGAAUUAGAAUUAUCAGACUAGGAAUUUUAAACAAUGAUCAACAUGCUAACGAAUAAAGUAGGCAGCAGGCAAAAAUGGAUGGGCAAUGUAAGCAGAGAGAUAGAAAGUUUAAGAAAUAAUCAAAAGGAAAUGCUAGGUAGACAUCAAAAACACUGUUAAAUAAAUGAAUAAUGCCUUUCAUGGGCCUACUGGUAGAUUAGAGAUGGUUGAGGAAAGAAUCUCCAAAUUUGAGGACAUCUCAGUAGAAACCACCAAAACUGAGAAGCAAAGAGAAAAAAGAGCAGAAAAAUAGAACAGCAUAUUCAAGAACUGUGGAACAACUAUAAAAGCUGCAUACACAUAGGGAAUUCCAGAAGAAGAGAGGGUGAAAGGAACAAAAGAAAUAUUUUAAAAAAUGACUGAGAAUUUUCACAAAAUUAAUGUCAGAUAUCAAACUACAUAUCCAAGAAGCUCAGAGAACACCAGGCAGAAUAAAUGUCAAAAAGACUACACCUAGGCAUAUCAUAUACAAACUGCAGAAAAUCAAAGAUAAAGAAACAAUCCUUAAGGAAACCAGAGAAAAACAUAUCUUACCUGUAAAGCAGCAAAGAUAAGAAUUAUACUCAACUUCUCCUCAAAAGCCAGGUGUAUUAGUCCAUUUUGCAUUGCUAUAAAGAAAUAUCUGAGGAUGGGUAAUUUAUAAAGAAAAGAGGUUUAUUUGGCUAACGGUUCUGCAGGCCAUACAAGCAUGGCACCAGCAUCUGCUUGGCUUCUGUUGAGGCCUCAGGAAGCUUUUAGUCAUAGCGGAAGGGAAGGGGAGCUGGCAUGUUACAUGGCAAGAGAUGGAGUGAGAGACAGGAGGAAGUGUUGGGCUCCUUUAGAAAACCAGCUCUCACAUGAACUAACAGAGUGAAAACUCACUAAUUUACAUGGGAAGGGUACAAAGCCAUUUAUGAGGGAUCCACCCCCAUGACCCAAACAUCUCCCAUUAGGCCCCACCUCCAACACUUAGGAUCACAUUUCAACAUAAGAUUUAGAGGAGACAAACAUCCAAACCAUAUCACCAGGCAAUCAAGGAGAGAGUGGAGUGAAUAUUUAAAGUGUUAAGAGAAAAAACCUACCAACCUAUAAUUCUGUACCCUGUGAAAUUAUCUUUCGAAAGUGAAGGAGAAAUAAAGUCUUUCUUAGACAAACAAAAAUUGAGGGAAUAUUUUUCCACAGACUUGCCCUGAGAGAAAUAUUAAAAGAAAUUCUUUAGCAAGAAGGAAAAUGAUAAAGGUCAGAAAUGCAGAUCUAUGUGAAGAAGGAAAAAGCAUCAAAGAAGCAAUAUUCAAGGCUAUACAGGAAGUAUGGUGCUGGCAUCUGCUUCUGGUGAGAGCCUCAGGGAGCACAUCAUGGCAGAAGACGAAGAAGGAGCUGGAAUAUCACAUGGCAAGAGAGGAAGAAAUGGUAGGGGGAAGUGUCACUCUCUUUCAAACAACCAGAUUUCAUGUGAACUCAGAGCAAGAAUUCACUCAUUACCUUGAGGAGAAUACCAAGCCAUUCAUGAGGAAUCCACCCCCAGGAUUUAAACACCUCCCACCUGGCCCCACCUGCAAAAUUGGGGAUUACAUCUCAACAUGAGAUUUGGAGGGGACAAACAUCCAAAGUAUAUGAUUCAGCCCCUUUCCCCCCACUCCCCCACCAAAUCUCAUGUCCUUCUCUCAUCACAAAAGUAGUCCCCAAAAGUCUCAACUCAUUCCAGCAUCAACUCAGGGGUCCCAAAGUCCAAAGUCUCAUCUGAGACUCAAGUAGAGCUGCUUCCACCUAUAGGCCUUUAAGAUAAGCAAACUAUUUACUUCCAAGAUACAAUGGUUGUGCAGGGAUUGAGUCAACAUUCCAAUUUCAAAAGAGAGAAAUCAAGCAAAAGCAAGGAGCAACAGGUCUCACACAAAUUCAACACCCAGCAAGACAGACAUUAAAUCUUAAAGCUCCAGCAUAAUCCUUGACUCAAUGUCCCACAUCCAGGUCACACUGUGCAAGUGGUGGGCUCCCAAGGCAUUGGGCAGCUCCACCCCUGUGGUUUUGCAGGGUGCAGCCCCCAUGACUGCUCUCAUGGAUUGGAGUUGAGCACCUGUGUCUUUUCCAGGCACCGGGUGCAAGUUGCCAGUGGCUCUACCAUUCUUGAGUCUAGAGGAUGGUGGGCCCCUUCCCAUAGCUCCAUUAUGCAGUUCCCUGGUGGGAACUCUGUGUGGGGUCUCCAGCCCUACAUUUACCCUCAGCCCUGACCUAGUAGAAGUUCUCUGCAAGGGCUCUGCCCCUGCAUCAGGCUUCUGCCUUGGCACCCAGGGCUUUCCCAUACAUCCUCUGAAAUCUAAGUAACUGCUACAAAGCCUCAUUCACUUUUGCAUUCUGUGUACCUGAAGGCUUAACACCACAUAGAAGCCACCAUGGCUUAUGGUUUGCACUCUCCAAAGCAGCAGCCCCAGGUAUACCUGGGGCCCUUUGAGCUAUGGCUGGAGCUGGAGCAGCAGGGAUAAGGGCAGUAGUCUCCUACUGUGACUGGUAGAGCAGGGCAGUGGUGCCCUGGUCCUGGUCCCAAACCAUUCUUUCCUCCUAGGCCUCAGGUUCUGUGAUGGUAGGGGUUGCUCUGAAGGUUUCUAAAAUGACUUUGAGACCUUGUUUUCCUUGUCUUGGAUAUUAGCACCUGACUCCCUUUCAGUCAUGUAAAUCUCUCCAGCAAGUGGUUGUUUUGCAGCCACAGCCUGCUUGUAUUCCUCUCCUAAAAAUGCUCUUUCCUUCUCUACCAUGUGGCCAGGCUGUGAAUUUUCCAAAUUAAUACACUAUGCUUUCCUUUUAGUUGUAAGUUUCAACUUUAAAUCAUUCAUUUCCUCCUAUAUCUGACCAUAGGUUGUUAGAUGCAGCCACGCAACUUCUCUUUUUUUUGAGACAAGGUCUCACUCUGUCACCCAGGUCAGAGUGCAGUGGUUCUACCAUGACUCACUGCCAUCAGAUCACUUCUGAAAUGCUUUGCUGCUUAGAAAUUUCUUCUGCCAGAUACCCUAGAUCAUCACUCUUAAAUUCAAACUUCCUCUGACCCCCAGGGCAUGGAUAUAACGCGUCAAGUUCUUUGCUAGGGUGUAACAUAGGUGAUCUUUACUUUAAUUCCCAAUAACUACCUUGUUUCCAUUUGAGGCUUCAUCAGCCUGGCUUUUACUGUCUAUAUUACUAUCAGUAUUUUGGUCACAACAAAGUAACAAGACUCUAAGAAGUUUAAAUUUUCCCUCAUCUUCCUGUCAUCUUCUGAGCCCUCUAAACUCUUCCAACCUCUAAACUCUUCCAACCUUCCACCCCUGUGACUGAGCCCUCUAAACUCUUCCAACUUCUGCCCAUUACCCAGUCCCAAAGCCAAUCCACAUUUUCAAGUAUCCUUAUAGCAAUGCUCCAUUUCUUGGCACCAAUUUUCUGUGUUAGUCUCUUUGCAUUGCCAUAAAGGAAUACUUAAGACUGGAUAAUUUAUAAAGAAAAGAGGUUUAAUUGGCUCACAGUUCUGCAGGAUGUACAGGAAGCAUGGUGCCAGCAUCUCAUUCUGGUAAGGGCCUCAGGAAACUUACAAUUAUGGUUUAGACAAUGAAGGGAGAGCAGGCAAGAGGAAGCAAGAGAGCAAGCAAGGAAACAAUAGAGCAACGAGGAAGAGCCAGACUUCUUUAGACUACCAGCUCUCACAUGAACUACCAGAGCAAGAACUCACUCAUUGCCACGGGGAUGGCAUCAAGCUAUUCAUGAGGGAUCCACUCCCAUGAUUCUAACACCUCCUACCAUGCCCACCUCUAACAUUGGAGGUCAUAUUUUAACAUGAGAUUUGGAGGGGACAAAACAUCCAAGCCAUAUCACUCCUCUAUCAAAAAUGAAUAGAUUUGGCAGGCAGAAAAUCAUAAGGACAUAGUUGAUCUUAAGAACGCCAUCAAUCAACUGGAUAUAAUGGACAUUUAUAGACUAUUUAAUCAAAAAAAAGGAAAAUACACAUUCUUCUCAAGCUCACAGAGAAAAUUAAACAUAGACAACAUUCUGAAUCAUAAAAUAUACCAUAACAAAUUUAAAAGGAUAUAAAUUAUACAUGUCUACUCUCAGACCAAAAUGGAAUUAAACUAGAAAUCAGUAACAGAAAGCUGGAAAUUCCCAAAAUGACUCAUCUGGGUUCCAGUCUGGUAUUUUUUAAAGAAUCAGAUAUGACGGCCAAUUUUAUGUGUCAACUUGGCUACACUACAGUGCCCAGUUGUUUGGUCAGACACCAGUCUAAAUGUUGCUUGCUGUGAAAGUAUUUUUUAGAUGUAAUUAACCUUUAAACCAGUAAACAAGGAUUAAGGCAAAUUACUUUCCAUAAUGUGAGUGGGUUCCAUCCAACCAGUAAAAGGCCUUAAAGAGAAAGACUGAGGUUUCCAAAGGAAGAAAGAAUUUGGUCUCAAGAUUGCAAUAUAGAAAUUCUCUCUGAGUUUUCAGCCUAGUAGCCUGCUCUGUGAAUCUGGGACUCAAGACUACAUCAACUCUUAUGUGAACUUUCAGCCUAUUGGCAAGUUCUUAUAGAGUUUGAACUUGUUAGCCACCACAGCCACACGAACCAAUUAUUUAAAUAAAUCAACC